AAAAACUUAGGUUAAUAAAACCAAGGGCCUUCAAAGCCCCAAAUAAGGAUGCAACCCCCUUAGUUUUUG
rnacentral:tRNA from 1 species